GUUGUUAGGGAAGAACAAGUAUCGGAGUAACUGCCGGUACCUUGACGGUACCUAACCAGAAAGCCACGGCUAACUACGUGCCAGCAGCCGCGGUAAUACGUAGGUGGCAAGCGUUGUCCGGAAUUAUUGGGCGUAAAGCGCGCGCAGGCGGUCCUUUAAGUCUGAUGUGAAAGCCCACGGCUCAACCGUGGAGGGUCAUUGGAAACUGGGGGACUUGAGUGCAGAAGAGGAAAGCGGAAUUCCACGUGUAC
rnacentral:rRNA from 1 species